UACGUAGGAGGCAAGCGUUGUCCGGAAUUACUGGGCGUAAAGCGCGUGUAGGUGGUGGGACAAGUCUGCUGUGAAAGCGCCUGGCUUAACCGGGCGAGGUCGGCGGAAACUGUCCGACUCGAGGACGGUAGAGGGGGGUGGAAUUCCCGGUGUAGUGGUGAAAUGCGUAGAUAUCGGGAGGAACACCAGUGGCGGAGGCGACUACCUGGCCUGUUCUUGACGCUGAGGCGCGAAAGCUAGGGGAGCAAACGGG
rnacentral:rRNA from 1 species